AUGUGCUAUAUGCAUCGCAAAGAACUGAGCUAUAAGAGCAACAUUGGCUACGUUUCACGCUUUCCUUUCAUGGUUUCCUCUGGGCUACAUAUUUGAAUCCCCACUGGGUGUGGCAGCAUAUAGGAAUCUUACUCUCCAAUGUUUGUCUGAGGUAGCUGCCUUUCAGUUUAGAGACUUCUAUAACAUGAAGUAUGUGAAAAUGUGCACUGUUUUCAUUUCACAAUUACAGCCUUGUAGGGAUGGAGUUUGAGUCUAAUAUAUUGAGUUUAAUGCUGGAGAUGAGGUGGCGGUGUUCAGUUCAUGUAGUAAACAUGCUUAUAUUUCCUAGCAACUCAAGACUGAGAGCAUCACUAGUCAGCUCUUCCUUCUUCACUGGUCUUAGCAGAAGCACAUGGUCUGCAGUUUGAAGCUAAGUCCAGGACCCAGCUGUGGCUGGAGCAUCAAUAUAAGCCUUUCUUUCAAAUCUUAAAAAAUAUUUAUCGCUUCUUCCUCUUACCCAAAGGUCAAGAAAUCUGGCAUGAGUUGUUUCUUGUCUCUGUGAAUUCUUUCAUAUUGCUUGCAGGAUUUAAUGUUGAGACUGUUGAAUACAAGAACAUUAGCUUCACUGUCUGGCAUGUUGGGGUCAAGAAAUAUAUGAAUUUUGCUACAUUUUUUGUUUUCUGUUCUUUUUUGCAUUUUAUGUUGUUACAAAGGUAAUUAGUUAUAUCAUUUCUUUUACAGAUCCCUCCAUUAUAGAGACACUACUUCCAAAACACAUAAGGUCUUAUUUUCGUAGUUGAAAGCAAUGAUAGAGACCGCGUUAUUAAGGCAAGGGAUGAACUGCAGACGAAUUUUAGUGAGCAAACAUAUUUCAUCUCCUAGUUUCCCAGUGCAUAUCUUGUCCGGUGCAGUCCUAGUCCUAGGAAAAUGAGUGCAUCUCCUUGUCGUGCUUUAUUGCAGGCUUUUGUGAAGUUUGUCUAACUGAUAGAAGUGGCAUUUUCUUACUUCAGUUAGUGUUUUUAUUACCUUGCUUGGUGCUGACUUCAUGAGAAUGAAAUCUUUCGGCAAAGUUGAAGAGUUUGCGGAGACUCUGGUUAGUAAACUAGAUAGAAGUUGAAAAAAGGGCAUCUGCAAGACUUACCGCAUGCAAAAUUCUCAAACGUAGGUAGAAGAUAACGGAGAAGAACAUGAAGAGCAUGGAAUCCAAGAAGAAGAGGUUGUUGAUGUCGAUGUUGAUUCUACAGAUGGCGCUAUUGUUACAAUUCUUUUUGACAAUGGAUACUCUCAUGGUGUACAUUGGUUUUGCAGGUCACAGAUAUGAGUAGUAAGUGCGACUAUUUACAAGGCUGGUUAUGAAGAAACAAGAAGCUAUACUUGUUUGAGCAUGUAGGUAAUGAAUGCUGAGCUUGUCUCCAUUCUUGUGCCUUUAAGAUUGUACCUACUACUUCUAUUACACUUCACCUUACAACUGCAACUGCAGAAUUUCUAUGUUAUGAAAACUUAGGAAAUGUUUACAUACUUGUCAUUUUUUUGAUACUACGCAUAGAAUUUAUAUGUCCUUGGAACUUAAGAAAUAUUUCUAGCUACAGAUUGGAACUUAAGAAAUUUAUAUGUAUUGCCUAAGUAGUUCUUU